GAUAAUAGAAUAAUGAUAAAAAUCAUAUUUAAUAUUAUAAUUAUAAAAAUUACAAUUUAUUAUCGCAUGUAAUUUAAGACAUGGGUCUCAAUAGGCGGCGUAGCAAUCGUAUCAUGUUAUUUCAUGUCUAGUUAGUUCUUCUUCUAUUACUCUCAAAUAAAAAUAUGAAGCAAUAGAGUUUACUGUUAACUAAAAUCUGGAAUAAACUUGUGAUAUACUAAAGAAAAAAUUCAAUCUGAAUUUUAAAUGAAUAAAAUUGUAAUAAUUUGAAACAUGGUUUUGCUAAAAAUAUAUCAUGUAUCUAAUUGUAUGGAAUUAAUGCAACAAAAAAAUGUUGUAUGUAUGUGAAUAUCUGAUCGCCAUAUUUGAAAAAAAUUUGAAAAAUAUUUAAGUUCUUAUGGAUUGAUUCCAACAAGGAUAAACUAUAAACUAUAAACUCCAAAAAUUAUAAAAUUUGAGUUUAUAUGUGUAUUUGAUGUCUUAAAUAUUAAAUUAAUGUUAGAUUAUUUUCAAAAGAAAUGAUAUGGUCUAUUAUUUUUGAAAAAUUAAUAAAAGAGUAUCGAGCAUUAGAAAAUAUGAAUGGAAUUCAGAAACAUAUGUAAUAUAUACAUAUAAUCGAGUGAGUAAACGCUUGAAUAUUUAUUUUGUUAUUAUAUUAUUAUAA